AUAUCAAAAGGAAUUUGAGAGAGUAAAAGAAAAGUGAUUAAAGAUGUAAAGGAAUUUGAAAUAGACAGAUAACAAGG
rnacentral:rRNA from 1 species